rnacentral:piRNA from 1 species
UGAGAGUCCUUGCUCACGGCUAUGAUGUCUU